CACGUGGGUGAUCUGCCCUGUACUUCGGGAUAAGCCUGGGAAACUGGGUCUAAUACCGGAUAUGACCUUACAUCGCAUGGUGUUUGGUGGAAAGAUUUAUCGGUACAGGAUGGGCCCGCGGCCUAUCAGCUUGUUGGUGGGGUAAUGGCCUACCAAGGCGACGACGGGUAGCCGGCCUGAGAGGGCGACCGGCCACACUGGGACUGAGACACGGCCCAGACUCCUACGGGAGGCAGCAGUGGGGAAUAUUGCACAAUGGGCGAAAGCCUGAUGCAGCGACGCCGCGUGAGGGAUGACGGCCUUCGGGUUGUAAACCUCUUUCGACAGGGACGAAGCGCAAGUGACGGUACCUGUAGAAGAAGCACCGGCCAACUACGUGCCAGCAGCCGCGGUAAUACGUAGGGUGCGAGCGUUGUCCGGAAUUACUGGGCGUAAAGAGCUUGUAGGCGGUUUGUCGCGUCGUCCGUGAAAACUUGGGGCUCAACCCCAAGCUUGCGGGCGAUACGGGCAGACUUGAGUACUGCAGGGGAGACUGGAAUUCCUGGUGUAGCGGUGAAAUGCGCAGAUAUCAGGAGGAACACCGGUGGCGAAGGCGGGUCUCUGGGCAGUAACUGACGCUGAGAAGCGAAAGCGUGGGUAGCGAACAGGAUUAGAUACCCUGGUAGUCCACGCCGUAAACGGUGGGCGCUAGGUGUGGGUUUYCYUUCCACGGGAUCCGUGCCGUAGCUAACGCAUUAAGCGCCCCGCCUGGGGAGUACGGCCGCAAG
rnacentral:rRNA from 1 species